UGUGGUUAAAAACCUAGUUUGAGUUUUCCUGUGAUUUUCAAGAAAGCAUAUACACCGUCUAUCCCUGCACUUUCACUGUUUAUCUUGUAGUGUCCUUGACGAAUGUGACCAGUAGCGUUCUAGUGGAUUUACCCCUUAUGUAUAUGGAAGUAUAGAGCUCAGUGCAAUGAGAGUCCCCAUGGAGAUACACGGGUUCAAGAUCUGUCCUAGCAAUAGCAGGCGAUGACAGAGGGCUCUGUUUCAAUAUGUUUCGUACAGGAAAUCACAGCUUUGGCGUGCUGAAGCUGGAACUGGUCCUCUGAAGACAGUGUCUGCAAUGAAGCUGAGUCCUCUCUCUCUCCCAGGCCCGAGUGUCUACCUCUAAUUUAUUCCUGAUGAAUGACAGCAAGUUCACAGCCUCAGGCUAAUGGAAGCACGACAGUGAGCAAGACAGACAAGGUCACUACCCGCAAGGAGCUGUUGAUGGAGAAUAACAUGCAAAGAAGAAGGCAGGAUUGAGCUUUCAGCUGCUCUGUAGAUUCUCAUCAGAGGUGCAGACUCUUCUUUGUGGAUCAUACCUACAUUUUAUUUUUCCUGAAAAUAUAGUAUGUAUUCAGGGCACACAGGCAUCUUCUAUUCACUUCAUCAUCAACACUUGUCAAACAAAAACUGCUAUUCAUGCUACAGACUCAUGCAGCUCCCUGCAUUUUGAAAGAAUUGCCUCCCUCUUCUGAGCCUGGCUCAAGAAUUUAUGAAUUUCUCAUCACAUCAGUAGUAAUUCUGAGAUGGAUUUAGGAGUGAGAAGUGUCAGCAUCAUCAACUCCAAAGACAGCUUUAUACAAGAUUAGCAUCUUCAACAAGAAUGUCAGAGGCAUGAAAAUGAGGAAAAUGUAAUCACAAUCACUCACUAUGAAUUUCCUGGGACAAAAUUAAACUUAAAUGGCAACAAAAGGUGAACUUGGUUAAAAUGAUUGAUGGACAGUUCUUCCUUGCUAAAUUUCAUUCAAAAUAGCAUAGGUCAUAUCCAAGUAUGUUCUCAUCAAAGAGUGGAUUGCGUUCUGGUCUUGGUCUUGGGUCUGCUGCUUAAUCCAUGUGGGAACUUAGUCAAGUGAAACUAACUUUUUCCUUCCUCAGUGGACUCAACUGUAAAAUGGGUAGAAUAACAGUACUUGUUAGGAUGUCAUCUAAGUGAAAUAGUACUUACAUUUAAUUGUAAGAAUUAAAUGACAUGGUAUGAGUGAAGCACUCAGCACAGAGCCUGGGAGUAGUGAGCACCAUCAUAUAUAUUAACCAUUAUUGUAGUACCUGGAAACUGUGUUUUACUUGAACAGCUGUGUUUUUCUUGUUACUUAUCUACAAUUGACCACACUGGAUAUUUGUUUUGAGCCAUAAUGAGGAUGAAGUGGAAAGAUAAACCCAUUUAUCCCUCCUAUUAUAAUUGUAAAGAGUCAUUUUUAGUGAACUUCAAUUAUAAACUCAGGGACAAGAAUAUUCUUUAUGAGAGCAAAGAAAGAGAGCAGAGGCUGCAAAGAAUUGUGUCCCACUUAGACAUUCCCUCGCAAGCCCCAGAACAAAAGAAAAUUGGUCGCAAACAACAAUUCUUUUAGCCACCUGGAUCAUGUCUGGCCAGGAUAGAAGAAAACGGUUCUUGUUUCACUAAUGGAAUUUUAAAAGCAUUGCUCCCAAUCUUUCUGUGGGUAAGUUUAGACUCAGUAGAGAGCUCAGCCUGAUGUGCAACAAAUCUGGAGUUGUUGUGUGGCUCUCUUAGAUGCCUGAAUACAUUAAAGGUGUGUAGCCCCAACUGAGAGCCUUGCACAGUAAGCACAUGAGGGCACAAGCCACAGAAUGGAAA
rnacentral:lncRNA from 1 species